AAGCCUGAUCCAGCCAUGCCGCGUGUGUGAAGAAGGUCUUCGGAUUGUAAAGCACUUUAAGUUGGGAGGAAGGGCAGUUACCUAAUACGUGAUUGUUUUGACGUUACCGACAGAAUAAGCACCGGCUAACUCUGUGCCAGCAGCCGCGGUAAUACAGAGGGUGCAAGCGUUAAUCGNCCCCGGGCUCAACCUGGGAACUGCAUCCAAAACUGGCAAGCUAGAGUAUGGUAGAGGGUGGUGGAAUUUCCUGUGUAGCGGUGAAAUGCGUAGAUAUAGGAAGGAACACCAGUGGCGAAGGCGACCACCUGGACUGAUACUGACACUGAGGUGCGAAAGCG
rnacentral:rRNA from 1 species